rnacentral:misc_RNA from 1 species
AGACGUUACUGCCCUCUUGCGUGCCCCGGCCACCCCCGGGCGGCUUGUAGCCGGUGCGCGGGGUGGCUGGGGCUACGUGCAGAGCUGUCGCGGAGCCGGAGCAGCAGCGGUGAAGCCCCUCGGCUCGGCCGAGACCGCCGUGCCCAUUGCUCGCCUCGGUUGCCGCCGCUUUAGCCGCAGCCGCUGCUGCCGCCGCCGGGGGAGAGGCAGCCUAUUGUCUUUCUCCGCGGCGAAGGUGAGGAGCUGUCUCGGCUCGGCCCGCGGGGGAGCCCCGGGAGCCGCACGGUGGCAUUUUUCAACUCCGCUGGAGCCAAUGCCCAGGAGGAACAAAGGGUGUGCUGCCAGCCCCUGGCUCACCCAGUGGCCUCGUCCCAGAAAAAGCCAGAGGUAGCGGCCCCAGCCCCAGAGAGUGGGGGUGAGUCUGUGUUUGGGGAGACCCACCGGGCCCUGCAGGGGGCCAUGGAGAAGCUGCAGCGACUUUAUGGAAGGAGAAGGUGGACCUGAAGGAGCGGGUAGAGAAACUAGAGCUUCAAUUCAUCCACCUCUCAGGACAGACAGACACCAUAGGGAGAAAGUACAUCAGCCAGGGGGCAGUGUCAGAGACGCAGCACUGGGAGAGGAGGACAUCGUCAGGCUGGCCCAGGACCAGGAGGAGAUGAAGGUGAACCUGCAGGAGCUGCGGGGCAGGUGUUGCAGCUUGUGGGAGACCACAAGGAGGGGCAUGGCAAAUUCUGACCAUUGCCCAGAACCCUGCUGAUGAGCCCACUCUAGGAGCCCCAAUAGCCCAGGAGCUUGGGUGUGCUGACGAGCAGGGUGAUCACCACUGGAUUGCUGACAGAUAGAGGACGUGGGACCGUGACUAUCACCCCUAAUCUGCAGUGGAUUUGGCUCUCGGCACUCCCAGGCUGGGAGCUGGAUACCUGCCCUGGCAGCAUGACUCAGACUGCAUGACAGAGAACGUGGCCAGUGGAGACGGCACACUG